AACACAGAAAGCAUAAUCUCCCCUACAUUUAAGCCUCGACUUAGGAGUAAACAAUAGAUCCUGGUUGGAAGACCGAAGGGAUCUAGUGGGUUGAUGCUCAGUCAAUAACUCACAGAGAUAAGUAGGGGCCAAUAUAUAUCUUUGGCAAAUAAGCAUCCCCAAAGUUCUACAAUGCAUCUGAGGACUCAAUGUAUUUUUUUUUUUUUUCUUUCCAAAUG